rnacentral:rRNA from 1 species
UACGUAGGGUGCGAGCGUUAAUCGGAAUUACUGGGCGUAAAGCGUGCGCAGGCGGUUCGCUAAGACCGAUGUGAAAUCCCCGGGCUUAACCUGGGAAUGGCAUUUGGGACUGCAAGGCUCGAGUGCGGCAGAGGAGACUGGAAUUCCUGGUGUAGCAGUGAAAUGCGUAGAUAUCAGGAGGAACACCGAUGGCGAAGGCAGGUCUCUGGGCUGACACUGACGCUCAUGCACGAAAGCGUGGGGAGCAAACAGG